UGGGGAAUUUUGGACAAUGGGGGAAACCCUGAUCCAGCCAUCCCGCGUGUGCGAUGAAGGCCUUCGGGUUGUAAAGCACUUUUGGCAGGAAAGAAACGUCGCGGGUUAAUACCCCGCGAAACUGACGGUACCUGCAGAAUAAGCACCGGCUAACUACGUGCCAGCAGCCGCGGUAAUACGUAGGGUGCAAGCGUUAAUCGGAAUUACUGGGCGUAAAGCGUGCGCAGGCGGUUCGGAAAGAAAGAUGUGAAAUCCCAGAGCUUAACUUUGGAACUGCAUUUUUAACUACCGGGCUAGAGUGUGUCAGAGGGAGGUGGAAUUCCGCGUGUAGCAGUGAAAUGCGUAGGUAUGCGGAGGAACACCGAUGGCGAAGGCAGCCUCCUGGGAUAACACUGACGCUCAUGCACGAAAGCGUGGGGAGCAAACAGGAUUAGAUACCCUGGUAGUCCACGCCCUAAACGAUGUCAACUAGCUGUUGGGGCCUUCGGGCCUUGGUAGCGCAGCUAACGCGUGAAGUUGACCGCCUGGGGAGUACGGUC
rnacentral:rRNA from 1 species